UGCAUGGAGAACCGGUGUUCGGCAGCGCAAACAUUCGUCCCCUCGAAUUGUCCGCGCUGUCGUUCUGAGAUCAUACGGUCGAACUUGAUCUGGAUAAUUCCAGCGAAAGAAACUCAUGCAAUGCUUCU
rnacentral:ncRNA from 1 species